CAUAUUUCUGCCUGAAACAAUGCUAAGUAACAAUUUGUAUAUUUAUUUCCAUGUAUGACCUAAGAUGCUCGUAAAUUGUAUAGGUCCAGUUUUACUCAUUUUAUUUUCCAUAUCAUUUCAUACUAUGGACAGGUCUGUACAACUGGGCUGCACUAUUCAAAUUAUGGCUUUUUUGGAUUACUUAUUCUACUUAUCUACUUUUAUUUGCAGGGAGAUGGGAUGACUAGCAUUGAACCCUCAGCUGGAAAUAUCAAUGACGUUUGUGUAAUUAGAAACAGUGGAUUAAUGCUCAUGGUUCUAGAGUCAACUCAAAUUCUGUCCUAUUUUAUUCCUUAGGUCCAGUUCCAAAGUGGUGCUCUAAUUUGGAGAACUUGAUAGUAUGGUUAAAUUCUGUGUGUACACACACAUGCAUACAUAUAUAUUUAGUUAAUGUUUCUCUAUAGUAGUUGCAUAUUUUUCCUAGGUAAUGGUACUUGCAUGCCUUUAUUAGAUACAAAGUAUUAAAUCAAAUAUUGGAUGUGCGUUAGAGAAAGUUAUAUCAUGUACAAAGUGCUGCUAGUUUAGAUGUAAAUUCUAUAUUUUCUAAUUCUUUUACAGGAAGAGCUUGAGGAAGGGGCACAAACCACCAUUCAUGAUGAUUUCGAAUUUGUAACAAAAGAGGACAUUGAACACUAAAAUUUGACAAAUCUGAUUGGCACCAACCUUUUAAGAGCUUAUAUUCAUGGAUACUUUAUAGAUUCUCGUCUCUACCUUAAGGAAAAAUCUAUGGCCGAUCCAUUUGCAUAUGAAGCUUAUAGGAAGAUCAAGAAACGUAUACAAGAAAAGAUUGAGGCUGAGCGUACUAAUCGUAUAAUGGUGUAGGAGGGAGAUCAGCUGACAUUGGGUCAAUUGGCCUCUUGACGCGGAGAUCCCUAGCUCUUUGAGGACACUUAUGAUGAGGCGUCGACUACUUAGGAGAACACAUCUUGAAUAAGGGCACGAUUAUCACACUUGUAAGAGGACUUACAGGAGGAAGCCCAUGCCUAAGGGGGGAGGAUGUUAGAUCCCUCCUUUAGUUACAUUAUAGUUAUAUUAUUUGAGUGAGAUGGUGUAUUAUGUCUUGAUUCAUAUACUAUUUCAUGGUUAUUGUUAUGAACCCUUUUAUAUCA